rnacentral:rRNA from 1 species
UGCGAGCGAACAGGGAAGAGCCCAGCACCGAAUCCCGCGGCCGAUAUCGGACGCCGGGAAAAUGUGGUGUUAGGGAGGAUCCGUUUAUCCCGAGGUCGUGCGGUGCGUCCAAGUCCUUCUUGAACGGGGCCACAGCCCAUAGAGGGUGCCAGGCCCGUAGCGACCGCUGCCGAUCGCGGGAGGGUCUCUCCUCAGAGUCGGGUUGCUUGAGAGUGCAGCCCUAAGUGGGUGGUAAACUCCAUCUAAGGCUAAAUAUGACCACGAGACCGAUAGCGAACAAGUACCGUGAGGGAAAGUUGAAAAGCACUUUGAAGAGAGAGUUCAAGAGUACGUGAAACCGUUCAGGGGUAAACCUGAGAAGCCCGAAAGGUCGAAUGGGGAAAUUCAUUCGCGUUUCGGCCGUCGGCGUUGGAUGGUCGCGUGACGGAUGGCGUACGCGUCGUCCGCGCCUUCCGUUCAUCGAACCGGCGUCGAACGCGUGCACUUUUCCCCUAGUAGGACGUCGCGAUCCGUUGGGUGUCGGUCUACGGCUCGCGGUGGAGCCCGUGCGGUCGUUUCGGCGUAUCGCACGGACCCGUGGUGUUCCGGCCGACUCGCUCGACGGUAUACAGAUGGCGCGGGGCCGCUACACAGUUAGCGUUCGGC